AACGAACGCUGGCGGCAUGCUUAACACAUGCAAGUCGAACGAGACCUUCGGGCUUUGUGGCGCACGGGUGCGUAACGCGUGGGAACCUGCCCUUAGGUUCGCUAUAACUCACCGUAAGGGGUGCUAAUACCGGUUAAUGUCUUAGGACCAAAGAUUUAUUGCUUUUGGAUGGGCCCGCGUUGGUUUAGCUGGUUGGUAGGGUACAAGCCUGGCAAGGCCACGUUGCAUAGCUGGUCUGUGAGGAUGAUCAACCACACUGGGACUGAGGCACGGCCCAGACUCGUACGGAAGGCAGGAGUAGAGUAUAUUAUGGGCGGAACGAAGGCCUGAUAAAGCAAUGCCGGGGAAGAGAGGAAGCCCUUAGGGUAGUAAAGCUCUCUUAGCCGGGGCGAUAAUGACGGUACCGGGUGAAGAAGCACCGGCUAACUACGUG
rnacentral:rRNA from 1 species